AGCCGCUCCCUGGAGAGGGCGAUAGGGAGGAGGCGGAGGCCCUGACGCAGCUCUCCCCCCCACCAUCCGCCCCAGACGGUGGGGAAGGCGCCUCUGGGCUGGGCCGGCUGCUGCCGUCUCCCCCUCCCCUCUCACCGAGCCCCCUUGCCCCGCGCUCCCCGGCUCUCCGCAGCCCCCGGCCCGCUCCCCCCCGGCCAUGGCUUGCGGCGCCACAUUGAAAAGGACUCUGGAUUUCGACCCUCUGCUGAGCCCGGCCUCCCCGAAGCGGAGGCGAUGUGCGCCAUUGUCCGCCCCGGCCUCCUCGGCCGCCGCCGCCUCGUCCUUCGCCGCCGCCUCGCCGCAGAAAUACCUGCGCAUGGAGCCCUCGCCCUUCGGGGAGGUGUCCUCCCGCCUCACCACAGAACAAAUUCUGUACAACAUAAAACAGGAGUACAAACGCAUGCAGAAGAGGAGACAUUUAGAAAAUAGCUUCCAGCAGACAGAUCCAUGUUGUUCUACUGAUGCACAGCCACAUGCAUUUCUCCUUACUGGACCAGCUUUGCCAGCAUCAUCACCAUUGAAAAAAGAACAGCCCCUGUUUACUCUCAGACAAGUUGGAAUGAUCUGUGAACGUUUGCUGAAAGAACGUGAAGAGAAAAUCCGUGAAGAGUAUGAAGAAAUUUUGACCACAAAACUUGCAGGAGGAUGGGACUUUCAUGGGGGGGACCCUCAGACUGGGACUCUUCUGUGGAAACCAAGAACUACUGCUACAUUUUUGGUUGAAGAUUGCUUUCUUUAACCUUGCCUCUUCUAAGAACAGUGCAGAGCACUUAAAAAACAAUACGACGCAUUUGUGAAGUUCACGCAUGAUCAGAUCAUGCGACGAUAUGGAGAACAGCCUGCUAGUUAUGUUUCAUGAAUCAUGUUUUCUGCAUAUGUGGGCUGCCCUAUACCCCCUAAUUGUUGCAAGCUGUCCCAGUAAAAGACUUGCAGCAAUGCCAUAUUUCCCCCCUUCCCCCACCCUCCCUACCCCCGUGAACACAGGUUAUUUCAAGCUUUUGUCAGUGGCAACCACUCUUAUGCAGCAACUGGUUUUGGAGUGCUCCCUGAUGUCAGUACCACCUGGAUGUGGACCUUUGCUACCUGUAAUAAUACCAGUGGCCUCAUUUGCUGUAUCAUUACAAUUUGGCUUCUUAUGUUAAUAAGUUUGAAAAAGUAAAGGAUUAAAGCUGGUGUUCUAGAACUUGCCCUUCACUGGUUGUGUAAAUAAAAAUGUAGAAUGACACUUCUGACUGAAGUUAGUGUGGUUUUCAUAACUGUGCACUACAACAAAACUGUAAUCACAGUUAAAUUAGAAUGUAACCCCAGGACAAUUUUAAGCAACUAGCCCACAGUACUGCCUGUGAAAUAGUAAAGGAGGGCAUUUCUGUAUUCCAUGACUUUUUUGGGGGUUAAGAAUGGGUUUAUAUGAUUUCUCAUUUUUGUAGUUUUUAUUUAUUCUAUCAGUCUUUAACAAAUGUUUAUUGCUGCAAUUUUUCAGUGUAUCAUUGUUUUACUGCCCUUGUAGUACUGGAAUUUAGUUGGAAGAAUAAAACAUUUACUUCUAAA